rnacentral:rRNA from 1 species
AUUGCCUUAGUAACGGCGAGUGAAGCGGCAACAGCUCAAAUUUGAAAUCUGAAGUUUACUUCCGAGUUGUAAUUUGAAGAGGAUGCUUCGGUUGUAGCUCCGGCCUAAGUUCCUUGGAACAGGACGUCGCAGAGGGUGAGAAUCCCGUACGCGGCUGGCGGCUUACUUCCAUGUGUAGCUCCUUCGAAGAGUCGAGUUGUUUGGGAAUGCAGCUCUAAAUGGGUGGUAAAUUUCAUCUAAAGCUAAAUACUGGCGAGAGACCGAUAGCGCACAAGUAGAGUGAUCGAAAGAUGAAAAGCACUUUGAAAAGAGAGUUAAACAGUACGUGAAAUUGUUGAAAGGGAAGCGCUUGCAAUCAGAUUUGCUUUCUGUUGAUCAACGUUCCUUUUGGUUCGUGCACUCUGCAGUUUGCAGGCCAGCAUCAGUUGCGGCGGCGGGACAAAGACCUUGGGAAUGUGGCUACCCUCGGGUAGUGUUAUAGCCCUUUGUGUAAUGCCGCCUGCCGCGAUUGAGGACCGCGCUUCGGCUAGGAUGCUGGCUUAAUGGUUGUAAGCGGCCCGUCUUGAAACACGGACCAAGGAGUCUAACAUCUAUGCGAGUGUUUGGGUGUUAAACCCAUACGCGUAAUGAAAGUGAACGGAGGUGGGAGUCUUCGGAUGCACCAUCGACCGAUCCUGAUGUUUUCGGAUGGAUUUGAGUAUGAGCAUAGCUGUUGGGACCCGAAAGAUGGUGAACUAUGCCUGAAUAGGGUGAAGCCAGAGGAAACUCUGGUGGAGGCUCGCAGCGGUUCUGACGUGCAAAUCGAUCGUCAAAUUUGGGUAUAGGGGCGAAAGAC